CAUAUGGCUGUACAUGGUAGUGAAAUACAGAAUAUAAAAACUGAAUCUGUGUGAAUCAAUUAAAUAUCGAACUCCAAAACCUAUUUAAUAACAGGGGUAGUGCAGUAACCGAAAUGGAAAUUAUUCUACAUGCAAAAGAAAUUUGAAGAGUUCUCGUUGCCAGAAAUUUAAGGUGAAUGGAUUUUGUGAUAUUCAGGCAAACUGACUCCCGAGUAAGAUAAAACUUCAUAAAUUCUUUCCUAUGGUGCUUUGAUGAACUUUGUGUAAAGUGACUUGGAAUCCAGCUUUAACUGGUUUAAAACAUGCAUGGAUUAUACUCUUCGCUAUUCCUAGGACAUUUACAAAUUAUUGUGUUUGUCCUUCUCAAGUUAGAAAUUCCACUUUUUGUGAAAACG